rnacentral:rRNA from 1 species
AUAAUAUAAGAUUUAGCCUGCCCACUGAGUAUUUAAAGGGCCGCGGUAUUUUGACCGUGCAAAGGUAGCAUAAUAAUUAGUUUUUUAAUUGAAAGCUGGAAUGAAUGGUUGGACGAGGAAAUUACUGUCUCUUAUUAAUUUAUAUAAAAUUUUAUUUUUAAGUUAAAAAGCUUAAAUUUUUCUAAAAGACGAGAAGACCCUAUAGAGUUUUAUAAAUCUAUUUGAUUAUAAUUUUAAGAAUUAAAUUUUUUAUUUUUUAGGUUUAUUUCAUUGGGGCGAUGAAAAGAUUAAUUUAACUCUUUUUUUGUUUAAACAUUUAUUUAUGAUUAUUUGAUCCAUUUUUUAUGAUUAUAAGAAUAAAUUACCUUAGGGAUAACAGCGUAAUCUUUUUUGAGAGUUCUUAUCGAAACAAGGGAUUGCGACCUCGAUGUUGGAUUAAAGUUAAUUUUUGGUGUAGAAGCUAGAAAAUUGAGUCUGUUCGACUUUUAAAACUUUACAUGAUCUGAGUUUAAACCGGUGUGAGCCAGGUUGGUUUCUAUCUUUAUUUAAAUAAAAUAUUUUAGUACGAAAGGACCAA